CUUGAGGAGAAGUUGUCAUUUUAUUUCUCUUCAGCCUCCACUGAAUGCCUUGACUGCUGUUGGAAAGGACAUGACUUUACAGGAGCAGGAGGAACUAACUGAACUGAAACAAGAUCGUGGUUUAAAGCUAAGAUUUGCUGAACUUCCUUUGGACAGUUUUUGGUUGACUGCUGCCAAGGAAUUCCCCAUUCCGGCCAACAAAGUUUUGACAUUGAUCCCAUUUUCCACAACGUAUGUGUGUGAGCUGAGCUUUUCAAGCCUAACUGCUAUAAAAACUAAAAACAGAGAGAGACUGAAAGCUGCUGAAGAGCUUCGUGUAUGCCUUUCUUCAAUUCCUGCCAGGAUAUCGGCUUUAUGUUCAUCUAAACAGGCCCAGGUUUCACACUGAGAAGCUGCCUUAAUCACGAUGAACCCAGGCUACGCAGGCAGGACCGAGCUCCGGGACAACCUGGAGGCCGCUUCAGAUCCGUCUCCAUGAUUGUGCCCGACCACGCCGUCAUCGCAGAGGUGUGCUCGGGUGCCGUCAUUCAUUACAUUAUGUAAUGAACGCAAUAACGGAUGUAUUCUGGCGUGUUACAGAACCGUUUCACGUUGUCUUUUUUGCUGUAGGUGGACUUGUGAGCUGAGGGCUUCAAGUCCAGUGAGACUCUGGCGAAGAAGAUGAUUCAGCUGUAUAAGCUGUGCAGCAAGCAGCUUUCCCGGCAGGACCACUACGACUUCAGCAUGAGAGUCGUCAACUCUGUUAUCGUCAUGGCCGGGUCUCUGAUGCGAGAGAACCCACACCUGAGUGAGAACGUGGUGUUGAUUAGAGCGCUAUGAUACUCCAACCUGCCCAAGUUACUCAAGGAUGACGCAGAACUUAAAAUAAAAUAAACUGAUAAAUAGUAAAGAACGCCAAAGCUUACAUAUGGAGUAUCAAAGGUCAUUAUCACAGGAUCACUGGAAUCAGGCACUAGGAGGAAAUUCCAGGACAAAUUAGGAAAUACAAUUAACUGACAUUUGCAAAUUCUUUGCAACUAAAAAGCUGUAAUUAUAUACUAUAUAACUUUUUUUUAAAGCAUUUAAAGUAUAUAACAUUAGCACCUUGUAAUGUUAUACCAGAUGAAAGUAAAGAAUCCUGGAACAUCUGAACAUCCAUAAUCUGAAAAUCUUGAACCUAGUGUCAAUCGAGUCAAUCCAAUCCUUCUUGUGUGCGUUUAGCGGUAUUCUGUCGGACCUCUUUCCUGGUGUGGGCGUCCCCGAGCACGACUACGGCGUGCUUCAGUCGAACAUCGAGGCAGCUCUAUGUGCCCGCUCCCUGCAGCCCGUCUCCAGCAUGACCGCCAAGGUGAUCCAGCUGUACGAGACCAUGCUGGUGCACCAGGGCGUCUUGCUGGUGGGCCCUACAAGAGGCGGUAAAACCACAGCGUACCGUGCCCUCGCUGACGCACUGCGCACCCUCCACGAGACAGAGGGCUGCGAGGUGAAUCCCUUCUACAAGCCCAUCGAGACCGACGUGCUCAACCCGCAGUCAGUAAGCUUGGACGAGCUGUAUGGUGAAGACGACCCUCUCACACUGGAGUGGAGUGCCAUCAAACCGUCCCUC